rnacentral:rRNA from 1 species
GACGAACGCUGGCGGCGUGCCUAAUACAUGCGAGUAGAACGCUGAAGAGAGGAGCUUGCUCUUCUUGGAUGAGUUGCGAACGGGUGAGUAACGCGUAGGUAACCUGCCUUGUAGCGGGGGAUAACUAUUGGAAACGAUAGCUAAUACCGCAUAACAAUGGAUGACACAUGUCAUUUAUUUGAAAGGGGCAAUUGCUCCACUACAAGAUGGACCUGCGUUGUAUUAGCUAGUAGGUGAGGUAACGGCUCACCUAGGCGACGAUACAUAGCCGACCUGAGAGGGUGAUCGGCCACACUGGGACUGAGACACGGCCCAGACUCCUACGGGAGGCAGCAGUAGGGAAUCUUCGGCAAUGGGGGCAACCCUGACCGAGCAACGCCGCGUGAGUGAAGAAGGUUUUCGGAUCGUAAAGCUCUGUUGUAAGUCAAGAACGAGUGUGAGAGUGGAAAGUUUACACUGUGACGGUAGCUUACCAGAAAGGGACGGCUAACUACGUG